rnacentral:rRNA from 1 species
GACGAACGCUGGCGGCGUGCUUAACACAUGCAAGUCGAACGGAAAGGCCCUGCUUUUGUGGGGUGCUCGAGUGGCGAACGGGUGAGUAACACGUGAGUAACCUGCCCUUGACUUUGGGAUAACUUCAGGAAACUGGGGCUAAUACCGGAUAGGAGCUCCUGCUGCAUGGUGGGGGUUGGAAAGUUUCGGCGGUUGGGGAUGGACUCGCGGCUUAUCAGCUUGUUGGUGGGGUAGUGGCUUACCAAGGCUUUGACGGGUAGCCGGCCUGAGAGGGUGACCGGCCACAUUGGGACUGAGAUACGGCCCAGACUCCUACGGGAGGCAGCAGUGGGGAAUAUUGCACAAUGGGCGGAAGCCUGAUGCAGCAACGCCGCGUGCGGGAUGACGGCCUUCGGGUUGUAAACCGCUUUCGCCUGUGACGAAGCGUGAGUGACGGUAAUGGGUAAAGAAGCACCGGCUAACUACGUGCCAGCAGCCGCGGUGAUACGUAGGGUGCGAGCGUUGUCCGGAUUUAUUGGGCGUAAAGGGCUCGUAGGUGGUUGAUCGCGUCGGAAGUGUAAUCUUGGGGCUUAACCCUGAGCGUGCUUUCGAUACGGGUUGACUUGAGGAAGGUAGGGGAGAAUGGAAUUCCUGGUGGAGCGGUGGAAUGCGCAGAUAUCAGGAGGAACACCAGUGGCGAAGGCGGUUCUCUGGGCCUUUCCUGACGCUGAGGAGCGAAAGCGUGGGGAGCGAACAGGCUUAGAUACCCUGGUAGUCCACGCUGUAAACGGUGGGUACUAGGUGUGGGGUCCAUUCCACGGGUUCCGUGCCGUAGCUAACGCUUUAAGUACCCCGCCUGGGGAGUACGGCCGCAAGGCUAAAACUCAAAGGAAUUGACGGGGCCCCGCACAAGCGGCGGAGCAUGCGGAUUAAUUCGAUGCAACGCGUAGAACCUUACCUGGGUUUGACAUGGAUCGGGAGUGCUCAGAGAUGGGUGUGCCUCUUUUGGGGUCGGUUCACAGGUGGUGCAUGGCUGUCGUCAGCUCGUGUCGCGAGAUGUUGGGUUAAGUCCCGCAACGAGCGCAACCCUUGUUCACUGUUGCCAGCACGUUAUGGUGGGGACUCAGUGGAGACCGCCGGGGUCAACUCGGAGGAAGGUGGGGAUGACGUCAAGUCAUCAUGCCCCUUAUGUCCAGGGCUUCACGCAUGCUACAAUGGCUGGUACAGAGAGUGGCGAGCCUGUGAGGGUGAGCGAAUCUCGGAAAGCCGGUCUCAGUUCGGAUUGGGGUCUGCAACUCGACCUCAUGAAGUCGGAGUCGCUAGUAAUCGCAGAUCAGCAACGCUGCGGUGAAUACGUUCCCGGGGCUUGUACACACCGCCCGUCAAGUCAUGAAAGUUGGUAACACCCGAAGCCGGUGGCCUAACCGUUGUGGGGGAGCCGUCGAAGGUGGGACUGGUGAUUAGGACUAAGUCGUAACAAGGUAGCCGUACCGGAAGG